rnacentral:rRNA from 1 species
GAAAGAUGGUUCUGCUAUCACUCUUGGAUGGACCUGCGGUGCAUUAGCUAGUUAGUAAGGUAACGGCUUACCAAGGCAAUGAUGCAUAGCCGAGUUGAGAGACUGAUCGGCCACAUUGGGACUGAGACACGGCCCAAACUCCUACGGGAGGCAGCAGUAGGGAAUCUUCCACAAUGGACGAAAGUCUGAUGGAGCAACGCCGCGUGAGUGAAGAAGGGUUUCGGCUCGUAAAGCUCUGUUGGUAGUGAAGAAAGAUAGAGGUAGUAACUGGCCUUUAUUGACGGUAAUUACUUAGAAAGUCACGACUAACUACGUGCCAGCAGCCGCGGUAAUACGUAGGUGGCAAGCGUUGUCCGGAUUUAUUGGGCGUAAAGCGAGUGCAGGCGGUUCAAUAAGUCUGAUGUGAAAGCCUUCGGCUCAACCGGAGAAUUGCAUCAGAAACUGUUGAACUUGAGUGCAGAAGAGGAGAGUGGAACUCCAUGUGUAGCGGUGGAAUGCGUAGAUAUAUGGAAGAACACCAGUGGCGAAGGCGGCUCUCUGGUCUGCAACUGACGCUGAGGCUCGAAAGCAUGGGUAGCGAACAGGAUUAGAUACCCUGGUAGUCCAUGCCGUAAACGAUGAGUGCUAAGUGUUGGGAGGUUUCCGCCUCUCA